rnacentral:piRNA from 1 species
UGGGCAGGUGACAAAUGUGUCCUAAGCGA